CAGUAGCCGCGGGAAUACGGAGGGUGCAAGCGUUAAUCGGAAUUACUGGGCGUAAAGCGCACGCAGGCGGUCUGACAAGUCAGAUGUGAAAUCCCCGGGCUUAACCUGGGAACUGCAUUUGAAACUGUCAGGCUGGAGUCUUGUAGAGGGGGGUAGAAUUCCAGGUGUAGCGGUGAAAUGCGUAGAGAUCUGGAGGAAUACCGGUGGCGAAGGCGGCCCCCUGGACAAAGACUGACGCUCAGGUGCGAAAGCGUGGGGAGCAAACAGGAUUAGAUACCCCGGUAGUCCCUGUCUCUUAUCC
rnacentral:rRNA from 1 species